UUUCUCCUAACCUCACCCCUUAUCUAUUCUCUCUUUCUCUCUCUACGUCCCAUGUCUUCUCCUCCGCCGGACCUAACUACUGUGAAAUAAUAUUUUGUCAGCUUUAUGCAAUUUUAUUCGGCUCGCCUACAUUUUUGUCUUGAUUACAUUCUCUGUCUCCACUAUUGCUCGUUGUAAUUUUGGGUUAAGAUAUUUGGCCAAAGGAGAAUCUAUUGAUUUGUAAAAUGUUAAGAUUGUCGUCUCUUUAACAUUCUUGAAGGAUUAUUUAGAAUCCUGAUUUGACAAACUUUUCAUACUUUCAGAAUUUCUGUUAAAGAAUGCAAAGGUUUUGAAGAAGUCUCCAUUAUUUCGCUGGCAAUUACGUGCUAAUCGUCAGUAACCGGAAUCAACAGUGACAACAAGCAAGGACUAGAUACUGAUGCUGCUUCAACGAGAUGACAUUGCGGUUGUUCUUGAAAAAAGACGGUGUUGGGGCGAGAGCAACUUGAAUUUUCUGUUAAUAUAUCUCAAUGCAUUUCAAUGUAUCUCAUUGUAUUUCAUUGUAGUCAUUGUCUUUUUUUAUUGCAUUUCAAUAUAUCUCAUUGUAUUCUAUGUAUUUGAUUGUAUUCAUUGUCUUUUAUUCAUUGUAUUUCAUUAUAUUCACUGUCUCGCUAUAUUCCAUGAAUGUAUUCGUAUGUUCUUUU
rnacentral:lncRNA from 1 species